rnacentral:lncRNA from 1 species
AUUAGAUGAAAGCUUAUAAUGAUUGAAAUUAGUUUUUAGAUAUACUCACUUUUCACAACUCAAAAUUGUUCUAAUUCGCCUAGGUUAGAAAUUAAAGGAUCGCGAAAAAUAUUUUAAUCUCUGUGGACGAAUCUUAAAUAUUAAAACGGUGAUCGUGCGCUUGCGAUUAUUUUUAAAAAUCUCUUUUCGAGCACAUCAAGUUUUUGGCGCCGCUGCCGGGGAUUAAAAUUAAUUUUUCGCUCCUUUAUUUUUAAUCUUUCGGAUUAGCUUGUUUUCUCACUAUUUUUUUUGUUCUUUAUUUCGAGGAGGAAUAUUCGGGAAUUAUGGAGUAAAGUGGACAAAUUUUGCUCGGAUUUCGAAGCUUGCUUUGGUAUCCCGUAUCUCUCCACUCUUAUUUUUCGUUUUUAUUUAGAAAAUCACAAAAAAAUUGAAAAUUGAAAAUCACAAAAAAAAUUACAAAAUUUAAAAUCCAAAAAUAUUAGUUAGAAAUACAUAUGUGUUGCAUCAUGCAUGUUUACACUUAGGGCACAUCAUUUAGAUUUUAAUUUUUGUUUUUAAAUUUUCGUACCUUAAAUUGUGGUGAUCGCUGGAGGACCCUAAGGUGCGUUAAUUUCUUUCUUCUCUCUAGAUUAAAACACGUAGUUUAAGCAUCCAUAGUUGUUUAUCGCUUUAAUUAUCUCGUUGUUUGGUGCAUCAUUUUAAAUAAAUCUUAAGGGCAAAACCCACUCACAAGAUAAGGGAAGGGAUUUCAUCACUUUUUCCUUGGCCCACAACGACUUAAUCCUUCAUUUUGCAUUUCCCUAGCCUUUUAAUAAAAUUGAAUUAGACAUUAGCCCCUAGGUUUCGCGCUCAACUAGGAAGGUACCUAAAAGACUAGGUAAUCUUUAAUUAUUCCGACUUUUCGGUGUCUAGGACAAGCGAAAGCUUACCUGGCCGAUUAAGGUUUGGUGUCUAAGCGCGGAGAUUGGCCUCUUGGCAAUGCCUGCUCCAAACUGGCCAGACCGGUCCGAAUAAUUUUGGAUUUAUUCGAGUUUUUGGUGGUCCUUAACGUUAGGAGCAAGGUCUAGUUCAUUUUAUUAGGGAACCUUAGAGUUAGGUUUUUCUUUCGCUUUUACACCCUUUAUUUUGUUUGUUUUACAUUCUCGCACUUAUUUGCUACGUGUUUACNNNNNNNNCUCUGUGGACGAAUCAUAAAUUACUAUAACGAGAUCGUGCGCUUGCGAUUUAAAGGUAUUAUUUCUAGCACAUCAAGUUUUUGGCGCCGCUGCCGGGGAUUAAAAUUAAUUUUUCGCACCUUUAUUUUUAAUCUUUCGGAUUAGCUUGUUUUCUCACUAUUUUUUGUUCUUUAUUUCGAGGAGGAAUAUUCGGGAAUUAUGGAGUAAAGUGGACAAAUUCUGCUCGGAUUUGGAAGCUUGCUUUGGUAUCCCGUAUCUCUCCACUCUUAUUUUUCGUUUUUAUUUAGAAAAUCACAAAAAAAUUGAAAAUUGAAAAUCACAAAAAAA